rnacentral:rRNA from 1 species
CAAGUCGAGCGGAGAUGAGGUGCUUGCACCUUAUCUUAGCGGCGGACGGGUGAGUAAUGCUUAGGAAUCUGCCUAUUAGUGGGGGACAACAUUCCGAAAGGAAUGCUAAUACCGCAUACGUCCUACGGGAGAAAGCAGGGGAUCUUCGGACCUUGCGCUAAUAGAUGAGCCUAAGUCGGAUUAGCUAGUUGGUGGGGUAAAGGCCUACCAAGGCGACGAUCUGUAGCGGGUCUGAGAGGAUGAUCCGCCACACUGGGACUGAGACACGGCCCAGACUCCUACGGGAGGCAGCAGUGGGGAAUAUUGGACAAUGGGGGGAACCCUGAUCCAGCCAUGCCGCGUGUGUGAAGAAGGCCUUAUGGUUGUAAAGCACUUUAAGCGAGGAGGAGGCUACUGAGACUAAUACUCUUGGAUAGUGGACGUUACUCGCAGAAUAAGCACCGGCUAACUCUGUGCCAGCAGCCGCGGUAAUACAGAGGGUGCGAGCGUUAAUCGGAUUUACUGGGCGUAAAGCGUGCGUAGGCGGCUUUUUAAGUCGGAUGUGAAAUCCCCGAGCUUAACUUGGGAAUUGCAUUCGAUACUGGGAAGCUAGAGUAUGGGAGAGGAUGGUAGAAUUCCAGGUGUAGCGGUGAAAUGCGUAGAGAUCUGGAGGAAUACCGAUGGCGAAGGCAGCCAUCUGGCCUAAUACUGACGCUGAGGUACGAAAGCAUGGGGAGCAAACAGGAUUAGAUACCCUGGUAGUCCAUGCCGUAAACGAUGUCUACUAGCCGUUGGGGUCUUUGAGGCUUUAGUGGCGCAGCUAACGCGAUAAGUAGACCGCCUGGGGAGUACGGUCGCAAGACUAAAACUCAAAUGAAUUGACGG